GAUGAACGCUAGUUACAGGCUUAACACAUGCAAGUCGAGGGGAAACGACAUUGAAAGCUUGCUUUUGAUGGGCGUCGACCGGCGCACGGGUGAGUAACGCGUAUCCAACCUGCCCACCACUUGGGGAUAACCUUGCGAAAGUAAGACUAAUACCCAAUGAUAUCUCUAGAAGACAUCUGAAAGGGAUUAAAGAUUUAUCGUUGAUGGAUGGGGAUGCGUCUGAUUAGCUUGUUGGCGGGGUAACGGCCCACCAAGGCGACGAUCAGUAGGGGUUCUGAGAGGAAGGUCCCCCACAUUGGAACUGAGACACGGUCCAAACUCCUACGGGAGGCAGCAGUGAGGAAUAUUGGUCAAUGGACGAGAGUCUGAACCAGCCAAGUAGCGUGCAGGAUGACGGCCCUAUGGGUUGUAAACUGCUUUUAUAAGGGAAUAAAGUGAGUCUCGUGAGACUUUUUGCAUGUACCUUAUGAAUAAGGACCGGCUAAUUCCGUGCCAGCCGCCGCCGUAA
rnacentral:rRNA from 1 species